ensembl:ncRNA C52E4.13 ncRNA
GAAGAAAAGUGUGAAUUCGGAGGAAAUUUGAAAUUCGGUUUGGCUUGCCCUCGAUUCUCGAGACCAAUUCGAUUUCAAUUAGAUUUCGUCUUCUAUCCUAUCUUUCGACAUCUCUAUUUCUCU